rnacentral:lncRNA from 7 species
AACAGCAGCUGCUUUACGAAGAGACUGUAUUUCAACUUGAGGGGGAAUGACACAUGCCUAGACCACAACUUCAGUUGGCAGAGACACCAUCUCUGUUCCACUGUAACACUUCCCUAAAGUUCCCCCUUCCAGAGGGAAAGAGGAAUUUGAGGAAAUUUUCUUUAUAUCACUGCGCUUCUCUCUUCAUUAUGAAGGUUCAGCACAUCUGGUGAACAAGAAAAGUUUUGUGGGGGCCCAGCCAUUUCCUGCAAGGCUAUGAUGUGUUUUGUCCUGUCACUGCACUGAUCUGCAAGUGACACCGAGUUGAGGUGUAUAUUUAAGAGGCAUUGCUGAAGAACCUGAGGCAGCAGAGCUCUUAGCACUAUUGGAGUGCCGGGGCAGUUUCUCUUCUUCCCCUUUUUCCUUCCUUGUGCUCCCUGCUGCCAAAUACCACCUGCCAUUCCUUCAUCACUGAUGCACUACCCUGAACCAUUGGUUUAAAUUCAGGCCCUAAGAGGCUUAAGAAAUAAAAUUUCCAAGAGCUCCACAAAAGGUAACUAAGAAUCAGCCUACUGCAGGAGGCUCAAAUCUGCUACACUGGAAUGUAUAGUUCCUUUAGAGAUUUUGUAUGGUCCACAAAUUGAAAAGCAAAGUGGAAAAAAAAAAUAAAAACCAAAAAAACAAAAAACAGUAGCAGGUUUGAUUCAGGCUUCAACUGUUUGGUACAGAUCUGGUUGUAAAUUGCUGGCACAGAGC